GCCCGGCCGGGCCCGCGGCGAUGGCGGGCUACGCGCGCCGCCCGGGCGUCCCCCCGCUGUCGCGAGCCCGGAGCCUCGUCAUUCCGGACGCUCCAGCGUUCUAUGAGCGCCGGUCUUGUCUCCCCCAGCUAGACUGUGAGCGCCCCCAUGGCAGGGACCUGGACUCCCACUUCUUCGGCAUUCGGCCGACGUUUAUGUGCUAUGUGCCCAGCCCGGUGCUAGCUUCCGUGGGAGACACAGAUUUUGGUUACGGAAAGGGGAAAUGUACUAAGCAAGGUCCGCCAGGAGCCCAAGAGACACAUUUUGGAGACGACAAGCUCGAAGAUCUUGCAGAGACCAAUCCGUUCUCCUUUAAAGAGUUUCUGAAAACCAAGAACCUCAGCCUGUCGGGAGCAGAUACAGCCAACAACAGGACUUAUUCCAAGGAAGCCACGAGACACUCACUGGGACUCGGCCGCAACUCCCCGACCUCCCAGACCGUAGGGUAUGGCCUGGAAUAUCAGCAGCCAUUUUUCGAAGACCCUACGGGGGCUGGCGAUCUUCUAGACGAGGACGAAGACGAGGAUGAGGACGAUGGGUGGAACGGGACCUACCUGCCAUCCACUGUGGAGCAGACCCGCUCCUUGGGGGUUGCCGCGAGCACGUCACCCUGCAGCACAUACGUCUCCUUCUUCUCCACCCCAACGGAGCUGGUGGGGCCCGAGACCCUGCCCCCGUGGAUUUUGAGCGACUCUGACUCUCGCGCCUCUCCGGCGGGGAGCCCCAACGCAGACUUCGCGGCCCAAGGAGAGUCUCUGGGAGACAGGCAUCUCCGGACACUGCAGAUAAGCUAUGAAGCACUGAAAGAUGAAAAUUCUAAGCUGAGAAGAAAGCUGAGUGAGGUCCAGAGCUUCUCUGAGACUCAAACAGAAAUGGUGAGGACACUGGAGCGGAAGCUCGAAGCCAAAAUGAUCAAGGAGGAAAGUGACUACCACGAUCUGGAGUCAGUGGUCCAGCAGGUGGAGCAGAACCUGGAGCUGAUGACGAAACGGGCUGUGAAGGCAGAAAAUCACGUCCUGAAGCUGAAGCAGGAGAUGAGCUUGCUCCAGAUGCUCUCCUGUGGCGGCCGCCAAAGUGCUUUACUGCUCUCGCCCACCUGCAGGCGCAGGUCUCUAACUUCAGGCGUGAGAACGAAGCCCUGCGGUCCGGCCAGGGCGCCAGCCUGACGGUGGUGAAGCAGAACACCGACGUGGCCUUGCAGAACCUCCGCGUCGUCAUGAACAACGCCCACGCCUCCAUAAAGCAGCUGGUUUCUGGAGCUGAAACGUUGCAUCUUGUUGCUGAAAUUCUUAAAUCUAUAGACAGAAUUUCUGAAAUUAAAGAUGAGGAGGAGGAGUCUUGAGAACCCUGAGGUGCUUCCAGGUCACAGCCCCGCUCGCACCCGGACAUCCCUGCUCACCGGAUUUGGAAAUGCCAUUGUGUCUUUAAAUACGUGGUCCUCACCUGUAGUAAAGCUAUGUAUCAUGACAUGCUCAUUUCAUGACCCGCACAGUGUGCGCAGCCCCUGCGGGGAGAAGCAGCCCCUGCGUGAGAGCUGCCCCGGCUUCUCUGCAGCCCUAUGCUGUAUCGGAAGACGUUUCUAUAAAAGCCAGUGAUUUUUUGAAGUUACUAAACCCGAAAGCACAGUUCUAUAAUGAGUGCUUUCCGUUGUCAUUCCGGAACGUUGCUCGUCCUUAAUUUCGACAGGAGAGAAAGCAGGUGAGCUGCGGUCAGUGGUUGCCUCUGCAACCUCACUUGGUGUCCCCGCUGGCUCGGUGCCACUCCUGUGGGCCCGCGGGCGGUGCCUGCCCUGGGAGACCUGAGCGCGGAUGCCCCACGGGGGGCUCCGGGUCACCCGGGCGGGCCGCUGUGUACAGCCAUCUAAAUGCACCUGUGAGCUGUCAGGUUUGAGAAACUGCUUUGGCUGGAGGGCUGUGAUACAUGUUUCAAGUGGGGCUUUAUACGAUGAAGUUCAGAAUUCAGGAAUUGAGAGUGUGCAGAGCCUUCCUGUGUUAGCACGAGGCCUUCCACGGUGCCUCUCCGACUGCUUCCCCAUGUAGAGAAGGCGGAACAUGCACUACGUGCCUUCUUGCCUAUUUUUCUGUAAAUGUCAUUUUUUUAAAUAAAUUUCCUUUUUUUCCUCCUGUUCAAAUUGACAGUUUUCCUAUUUAAUAAAUUGUAAAACUCCUA